GGGGCUUCCCUCAGGUCCACAGGGAGACUCCUGGUGGAGAGGUCACUGCAGGCCUAGCAGGGCUGCUUCGGGAGCGAAGGCAGAGGUCCCAGCAGUUGCUCUUAGUAAACAAGGGGGGUUGGUCACGUGACUGGCAUAUCAGAAUUAAUCGGAACAGUUAAGGGAGACAGGAGCAUCCGCAGCCCCUGGACAACAGGUCUUUCUUUCUUACAGGCAAAAAAGAAUCCUUGUGUAUCGUGAAGGCAUGCCUGUUUGAUUAUUUUGAAGAAGAAGACCCAGAUAACUGAGAAGAAAAAUGAAGCACCCCUAUGUAACCCUGAGCUUGGCUUCUGAGGAGCUUUAUCCAGCAGAGGCAACCAGGCCCCUUGGAGAAAUGGUCGAUAAGUCUGGAAUGUCUCGCUAUGCCAAAGAAAUGGGAGAAGCAGAAGGGAAAGGAGAUUAUGGAGCAUUUCAAAAAGGCACAGAAGCCAGCUUGAGUGGAACCCCAGGGCCAAACCUAGAACGACUUUGAGCGUGGAGAUAAAUGUAGAUGACAAUGA